AACGAACGCUGGCGGCAUGCCUAACACAUGCAAGUCGAACGAGACCUUCGGGUCUAGUGGCGCACGGGUGCGUAACGCGUGGGAACCUGCCCUUAGGUUCGGAAUAACUCCCCGAAAGGGGUGCUAAUACCGGAUAAUGUCUUCGGACCAAAGAUUUAUCGCCUUUGGAUGGGCCCGCGUUGGAUUAGCUAGUUGGUAGGGUAAAAGCCUACCAAGGCGACGAUCCAUAGCUGGUCUGAGAGGAUGAUCAGCCACACUGGGACUGAGACACGGCCCAGACUACUACGGGAGGGAGCAGUGGGGAAUAUUGGACAGUGGGCGAAAGCAUGAUGCAGCAAUGCCGCGUGAGUGAUGAAGGCCUUAGGGUUGUAAAGCUCUUUUACCCGGGAUGAUAAUGACAGUACCGGGAGAAUAAGCGCCGGCUAACUCCGUG
rnacentral:rRNA from 1 species